rnacentral:rRNA from 1 species
UACGUAGGGGGCAAGCGUUGUCCGGAGUUACUGGGCGUAAAGCGCACGCAGGCGGUCUUUUAAGUUUGGAGUGACAGUUGGUGGCUUAACUGCCAAAGUGCGUCGAAAACUGAAAGACUUGAGGGCUUCAGAGGGACACGGAAUUCCGGGUGGAGUGGUGAAAUGCGUAGAGAUCCGGAGGAACACCAAAGGCGAAGGCAGUGUCCUGGGGAGUUCCUGACGCUCAGGUGCGAAAGCCAGGGGAGCGAACGGG